AGGAAGUUGUAAAGAUAAGAGGCUCAGGCGCAGUGGCUCAUGCCUGUAAUCCCAGCACUUUGGGAGGCCAAGGCAGGUGGAUCGCUUGAGCCCAGGAGUUCAAGACCAGCCUUGGCAAAAUGGUGAAACCCCAUCUCUACCAAAAAUACAAAAAUUAGCCAGUUUCAUAAACUGGUCUCAAAAUAAAUAAAUAGAUUUUUAAAAAAUUUAAGAGUGAAAAAUAAUAGAUAUAGAAUAGAGAGGAUCAAUAAACCAAGUUUGUUCUGUGAAAAGACAUAAAAAGAAGAGACUGAGCUCGAGCCCGGAGUCGCUUGGGGAGGGCACCAGGUCACUGCAGCCAGAGCGGUCCGGAAGAGAAAGGAGGCACUGCCUCCACUACAGCAACUGCAUCCACGAUGCAGAGCAUCAAGUGCUUGGUGGUGGGUGAUGGAGCUGUGGGCAAGACGUGCCUGCUCAUCUGCUACACAACUAACGCUUUCCCCAGAGUACAUCCCCACCGUGUUCGACAAUUACAGCGCGCAGAGCGCAGUUGACAGGCGCACAGUGAACCUGAACCUGUGGGACACUGCGGGCCAGGAGGAGUAUGACCGCCGCCACACUCUCCUACCCUCAGACCAACGUCUUCGUCAUCUGUUUCUCCAUUGCCAGUCCGCCUUCCCAUGAGAAGGUGCGGCACAAGUGGCUUCCAGAGGUGUGCCACCACUGCCCUGAUGUACCCAUCCUGCUGGUGGGCACCAAGAAGGACCUGAGAGCCCAGCCUUACACCCUACGGCGCCUCAAGGAGCAGGGCCAGGCACCCAUCACACCGCAGCAGGGCCAGGUACUGGUCAAGCAGAUCCACGCUGUGCGCUACCUUGAAUGCUCAGCCCUGCAACAGGAUGGUGUCAAGGAAGUGCUCGCCGAGGCUGUCCCGGCUGUGCUCAACCCCACGCCGAUCAAGUGUGGGCGGUCCUGUGUCCUCUUGUGACCCUGGCACUUGGCUUGGAGGCUGCCCCUGCCCUCCCCCACCAGUUGCACCUUGGUGCCUUGUCCACCCCAGCUGUGCCUUAAGGACUAAUUCUGGCAGCCCUUUCCAGGGGGCUCCCUGAAUGCUUUUUUCUCUGAGCGCCUUUUUCCCUUAAGGAGGCCUGCAGAGAAAGGAGCUUUGGGCUCUGCCCCCCUCUGGUUGGGAACACUGGGUAUUCUCAUGAACUCAUCCAAGCCAAGGUUGGACCCCUCCCCAAGAGGCCAACCCAGUGCCGCCUCCCAUUUUCCGCUGCUGACCAGUUCAUCCAGCUUUCCACACAGUUGUUGCUUGCCUAUUGUGGUGCCUCCUCAGGUUAGGGGCUCUCAGCCAUCUCUAACCUCUGCCCUGGCUGCUCUUGGAAUUGCACCCCCAAGAUGCUCUCUCCCUUCUCCAAUGAGGGAGCCACAGAAUCCUGAGAGGGUGAAUGUGCCCUAACCUGCUCCUCUGUGCCCAGGCCUUAUGCAUUUGCUGACUGACUCAGCCCCCAUGCUUCUGGGGGCCUUUCCUACCCCCAUCAGCAUCAAUAAAACCUCCUGUCUCCAGUG